AAAUCUUACAUCCCUUCAGAUGCUGAGAACCUUAAUUUUGUGUAGCAGACAGAUUAUCCUGCAGCAUGCUGAACAGUCCAUGGAGAGGUUCAUCUGAUGCUGCAUGGUGAGCUGGAAAACUGAGAUGGAAUUAUCCUUGUGUCUCAAUGCCCACUUUCACCUCCCCAGCCCCUCAGGGAUAUUAAGAAAUGUUUGAGAAGCAAACCAUAGGACCAGGCAGAGGGUAACACAAUCAAGUCAUUUCUAACUUGCUUUUGGCAACCAAUGGGGGAGCUUAGAAAGUGAAUGAAGAUUAUAAGGGAAUUGCAAAUAAAUACUGUUUGGAGACCUGGUUGUGCUCAGAUUGACUGAAAACCCAGGCAGAGUGGUAGACACUAGGAAGUAUGUAAAAGAAAACCAGUGUUCACUGUGAAGUGGGAAAAUCCUUCUGAGAUCCGCUCAGUGCUGCUGAAAGCAGGGUUCCGAGCAUCUGAAAGGAUAAUCAGGCCAGAAAAGAAGACGACCAUUCACUUGCAACAUAGUAUCUCCAGGCCCCAUACCAGCGUGAAGACCAUGGAACAUGCUGCAAAUCUUGGCUGGACUGUCCUACCAUAUCCACUGUUUGGUCCAGAUUUGGCACAUUCUGAAUUCUGUUUGGGCUGUGGGGGCAACAUUUUCCUAGUAACAUCAUCAUCAUAGUAGUGUGAUGUGAAACUGUGGGUUACCCACUGAUGCAGAUGAUUAUAAGUGCAGCAUGCAGGCUUUUGUUCAUCACUCAUGAAAAUACAUUGCUGAUGGUGGUGACUGUAUUGAAAAAUAGUGCUUUGUAGCAGAGAAUUUGCUCUGUCAAAUACUAUUAUUGUACUCUUUGUAGUUUCCUUAGAAAUAAAAUAGGAGGAUUUACUUUUGGAGCAG
ensembl:lncRNA